GACGAACGCUGGCGGCGUGCUUAACACAUGCAAGUCGAGCGGUAAGGCCUCUUCGGGGGUACACGAGCGGCGAACGGGUGAGUAACACGUGGGUGACCUGCCCUCAGCUCUGGGAUAAGCCUGGGAAACUGGGUCUAAUACCGGAUAUGACCACAUGUUGCAUGGUGUGUGGUGGAAAGUUUUUUCGGCUGGGGAUGGGCCCGCGGCCUAUCAGCUUGUUGGUGGGGUGAUGGCCUACCAAGGCGACGACGGGUAGCCGGCCUGAGAGGGCGACCGGCCACACUGGGACUGAGACACGGCCCAGACUCCUACGGGAGGCAGCAGUGGGGAAUAUUGCGCAAUGGGCGGAAGCCUGACGCAGCGACGCCGCGUGGGGGAUGACGGCCUUCGGGUUGUAAACCUCUUUCGACCGGGACGAAGCGGAAGUGACGGUACCGGUAGAAGAAGCACCGGCCAACUACGUGCCAGCAGCCGCAGUAACAC
rnacentral:rRNA from 1 species